GUGGCUAAAAAAAGGAUGAUCAUGCAGUGGGAAGAGUUGACUUUGAUUUUCAUUCGAAUUUUUCUUGUAGGCACUUUUAGUGUCUGAUUUCGGCCCGAAAAUUUCGUUCAAGAUCGUGGACAGCCUUCGGGAAGAUAUACUAGCGGGGAAGCUGAAGUCUGGAAGUGAGAUAAAGGAGGCUUUGAAGACGAGCGUGCUCCAGUUGUUGACAAGCAAGGGCAGUAAGACAGAGCUUCAGCUGGGAUUUAGAAAACCUGCAAUGAUUAUGAUUGUUGGUGUUAAUGGAGGGGGAAAGA